ACAAGAAAUAACAAUACAAGGCAGUUAAAAUGCUUUGUAAUUGGAAUGAUAGAAAUUUAAACACUUUUUAAAGUAUCAAUUGGAGGGCAAGUCUGGUGCCAGCAGCCGCGGUAAUUCCAGCUCCAAUAGCGUAUAUUAAAAUUGUUGCAGUUAAAAAGCUCGUAGUUGAAUUUCUGUUAAAAAUAACCGGUCUGCUUUUAAUAAAAGUGGUAUCUUGGUGUGUUUUUAGCAAUAAUGUCCUUUGAAAUGUUUUUUACUUUAUUGUAAUAAAUAAUAUUCAGGAUUUUUACUUUGAGAAAAUUAGAGUGUUUCUAGCAGGCUAACGCUUUGAAUACUGCAGCAUGGAAUAAUAAAAUAGGAUUUUAGUUCUACAUUAUUGGUUUUAAGAACUAAAUUAAUGAUUGAUAGGGACAGUUGGGGGCAUUUGUAUUUAACUGUCAGAGGUGAAAUUCUUAGAUUUGUUAAAGACAAACUACUGCGAAAGCAUUUGCCAAAGAUGUUUUCAUUAAUCAAGAACGAAAGUUAGGGGAUCGAAGACGAUCAGAUACCGUCGUAGUCUUAACUAUAAACUAUGCCGACUAGAGAU
rnacentral:rRNA from 1 species